GCGACGACGGGUUUUUUCGUUUACGUGUAAAAGUGGUGAAAAUGGCAGAAAAUCGCAAAUCCAAGAAGAGAAAGUUGCAGGAAUUACUGCAAGAUUUAUUGGAGGAAUCAAGCGACUCGUAUGUUUCGAUUGGGUCUCAAAGUGACGAUGAGGUCCUUUUACCACUCUUUCAAAAGCGGGUCAGGUGCAGCCACCUAACGGUUUAUGGGCUACUGGACUUACUGGAAAAGAAAAUUCCGGAAAAUUUAGGACCAGAGGUACAUUCCGAUAUUUCGGAAUUACUCUCAGUUUUUCUUUCAAAGGGUCUGGAUGCAGAAGGACGUAAGAUUACUCUAGAACAAUAACCAAUUUUAAAAGGAUGUGAGGCUCUGAAACCACCAGAGAUAAAUCCGGAAAUCAAAUCGUGUGUUACAUCUGCAAUAUUAGGACAGGAUAUGUUCUUAUCAAAACUUCAGAGCCAAUUAGCAACAGCUAUAAGUGCACUAGCUGUUCCAUUAAAUGUUACUUAUGAAAAGCUUAAAAAAUCAGACACGCCAUCUUCUUCCCACGAGGAGUUGGAGAAGUUAGGAGAUCCAAUGAAACUUGUGGCCGACGCUUUUCAUUCUUUAUCGAAACAUAGACGUUACUUAAUGGUUCCAUGUUUGAACGACGCCGUCAAAGAUGUUUUGAAAACUUGUUCCAUAGAUUCUUUCCUUUUUGGGCAGAAUUUCACUGAAAAACUAAAGUGCUCUUCUGAAGCAAAGAAACUUGGCGCGUCUAUUAAAAAGAAGCCUAAGAUUCUUCGUACAGGAACUACAGUUCCCACUUCGUCUCGUCGCCCUUUAUCAUCGAAACAGGCUGCUGGAUCUUCAAGAAGAAAUUCACAGUUUUUUCAGUACCGCCAACGUUCGGUGAAACCUCGUUACAGAAAGGAGGAGGAAGGGAGGCACAACCCACGGAAACGGCAAUACCAACAUUAGAGGGGGAAUCAUCAGUUGGCGAAGCCAGUCGUGUAUUUGAAUCCAGGUAAACAUCAACUAUAACAAUGGAGGAGGACCUAACCGCCGUUGCACAGCCAUCAUUAUCACAGGCAGAAACAUCCUUUGUGGCGGCAUCUUACCCUGGAGGCCGGGAUUUUGUCAGGCAGGCUUUCCUCCGUAGAGGAAUUCCGCUAUUAGGUAUCUCACCUAUCAUAUCUUCUCUGGCGCCAAGUACAUUUACUUAAUACAAUAUUUAUUAUCGUAAGUGGUGGAGUUUUUGUAUGUCACAAUCAAAAUCUCCAUAUAACUAUUCGUUAGACACGUUGUUUUUAUUUUUAACGGAACAAUAUAAUACAGGAGCAUCAUACUUUACCUUAUAUUCACAAUAUUCCGCGUUAUCUUUUGUUUUUUCAUCGAUAGAUAAAGAAAAAUCUUUUUCAAACGGUUUUUAAAAGGAAUAUAUAGACAGAAACCUCCUUAACCUAAAUAUUAAAUAACGUGGGACCCUUCUUUAGCUCUAGACUAUUUAGCAAAAAUAUACCCUCUACCGGAGGUACCUAUGCCAAAAUUAACCUGUAAACUAGUAACUUUACUUGCUUUAGUAACGAGACAUAGAAUACAGACAUUGUCUAAAAUUAGAAUUAAAAAUAUUGCUCAUUUUAGCGAUAGGCUAGAAAUUAAAAUUCCAGAUUUAAUAAAGGACAUCAAGUCGUAAUAAUUGUCAACCUUUGCUGGUUGUUCCAUACUUUACUGAAAAUCCUUCACUAUGUUUAGCUUCAGUAAUUGAUGAAUAUAUACAAAGAACCCAGACUCACAGGUCUAACGAAGACGAUUGGUUAAUUUUAACUUAUGCCAAGCCUGUUCAUCCAGCAACCACACAAAGAAUUAGUAAAUGGAUUAAGAAUAAAUUAUCUGAAAGUGGAGUGGAUAUAAAUUAUUUUUCCAGUCACAGCACAAGACACGACGCCGCGACUUCGGCAGCCUAGCCUUCGGCUGGAGUUUCGAUAGAAGUGAUUAGGAAGGCCGCUGGAUGGACCCAAAAAAGUAACACAUUUAACACUUUUUAUAAUCGCCCUUUGAGUUCUGAUUCUACAUUAUUUGCUAGAAGUAUACUUAAUAAAA
rnacentral:lncRNA from 1 species